GUAGGGAAUAUUGCACAAUGGGCGCAAGCCUGAUGCAGCAACGCCGCGUGCGCGAAGAAGGCCUUCGGGUCGUAAAGCGCUUUUCUGGAGGAAGAGGAAGGACGGUACUCCAGGAAGAAGGAUCGGCUAACUACGUGCCAGCAGCCGCGGUAACACGUAGGAUCCGAGCGUUAUCCGAAUUUACUGGGCGUAAAGCGCGUGCAGGCGGCCAGGUAAGUUGGACGUGAAAUCUCCCGGCUCAACUGGGAGGGGUCGUUCAAGACUGCCUGGCUAGAGGGCGGUAGAGGGAGGUGGAAUUCCCGGUGUAGUGGUGAAAUGCGUAGAUAUCGGGAGGAACACCAGUGGCGAAAGCGGCCUCCUGGGCCGCCCCUGACGCUCAGACGCGAAAGCUAGGGGAGCGAACGGGAUUAGAUACCCUUGUAGUCC
rnacentral:rRNA from 1 species